rfam:Neisseria bacilliformis ATCC BAA-1200 genomic scaffold SCAFFOLD1, whole genome shotgun sequence.
GCGUUGGACGGUUGGCAACAGCCGUUUGACAGUUUCUCCUCUAUUUCUCCUUUGUAGACUUGGCACACAUUCGCAAGAAUGUGUGCAUUUUU